CCUACGGGUGGCAGCAGUGAGGAAUAUUGGUCAAUGGACGAGAGUCUGAACCAGCCUAGUAGCGUGAAGGAUGACUGCCCUAUGGGUUGUAAACUUCUUUUAUAUGGGAAUAAAAUGUUCCACGUGUGGGAUUUUGUAUGUACCAUAUGAAUAAGGCUCGGCUAACUCCGUGCCAGCAGCCGCGGUAAUACGGAGGAUCCGAGCGUUAUCCGGAUUUAUUGGGUUUAAAGGGAGCGUAGGUGGAUUGUUAAGUCAGUUGUGAAAGUUUGCGGCUCAACCGUAAAAUUGCAGUUGAAACUGGCAGUCUUGAGUACAGUAGAGGUGGGCGGAAUUCGUGGUGUAGCGGUGAAAUGCUUAGAUAUCACGAAGAACUCCGAUUGCGAAGGCAGUUCACUGGACUGCAACUGACACUGAGGCUCGAAAGUGUGGGUAUCAAACAGGAUUAGAUACCCUGGUAGUC
rnacentral:rRNA from 1 species